UACGGAGGGUGCGAGCGUUGUCCGGAUUUAUUGGGUUUAAAGGGUGCGUAGGCGGUCAAUUAAGUCAGUGGUGAAAUCCUAUAGCUUAACUAUAGAACUGCCAUUGAUACUGGUUGACUUGAGUACAGACGAGUAGGCGGAAUUUAUGGUGUAGCGGUGAAAUGCAUAGAUACCAUAAAGAACACCGAUAGCGAAGGCAG
rnacentral:rRNA from 1 species